rnacentral:rRNA from 1 species
AUGAUUACUAACUUAGGUUCCGCGUUUUAUUCCAUGAAAAACACUCCAAAACCCCCUACCAAAACUGCCAAGUUUGUUUAUGUUCCUAAAAAUAAGGGUGAAUCUUCUAAUAAGGGAGAUGCGGAUCUCAAUUCCAUAAAUGAUCAUCACAAUUGUCCCUCUAUCGUUAAAGAACCUUCGGUUACAAAUGAAUUUCUUGAAUUUCAGCCUAAAGGUUUUAUCAUUGCUAAAAAGGGAGAAACCCCUAAAGAUUAUAAGUGCUCUAUUGAUGAUUCAAGUGUCAAAUAUGGCACUACUUAG